AUCCUCCAAAUUCCUUACCCAUCUGACCUCAAUCCUCGUCUGAGCGGUUAUAAAAGAGGAAAAGUAAAGCCAAAACUGACUUAGAUUCCUCCAUGACACACAGCUGGCUUCAAACAAAC
rnacentral:snoRNA from 1 species